ACACAAAAGGAACGAUUUAAACACAAUGUCUUACAAUGAGUUAUGAGGUUAUGCUUGGCCAGAGCGGAGCGUGACUGGUUUGUUCUUUCUAUGGGAACUCGGGCGGGGGCGGCGAUUAUUGGGCUGGCUUGUCGGGCCUUGUCCUGUACAGUAGGGAUCUUGUUCUACCUGUACUGUUAGUUCCUUAGGUAUAUUCUUCUGGCCAUGGUGGCCAGAACAAAAUGGGGGGGAACUUCUUUGCCAAUUUUUCCUCUGAAGGUGCCUUACUGUUACCGUCCUCAGAACCUUUCGUUCUGUUUUUAGUAUAUUUAUAGCCUAGCUCUUGUUCAGCACUUACAGUCUUUAUUGUUUCAUAACUGCUGUAAGGUUACUCAGUUUCCUUUCUAUCUAAUUUAAAAACAAAUAGCAAAAUAUAUGUAGCCUUUUGAAGUUUGUUAGAGUUAUGUUUCCUGUCUGGUUUUCCUUGUCUUAUUGUUUUUGUAUUUAAAUCAAUCCUUACUUCAGGUUAUUUUUGGUGACCUGUGUAAUACCAGGUAAAUGAUGUAAAAAAACACACUGCAGUUUUAUGACACUGUUUCAGGGGGCGUUCAGGAGCUGCUGCUACACAAAUACAGCGACAGCAUUGACCGUGGAGUGACAGGCAACUCUGCCUCAGUUUCUUCACCUACAAAAUGGAGAAUUAACCCUGUAAAAUGGGGGUGAGAACAUUUCCUACCUUGUAGGGAGAUCAUACAAGUAAAUUGUUAGAGUAAUGCCGGCCCCCAGGAAGAUCUAACAUAUGUUUGCUGUUAUUUGCAUUAGUUAACAAAUAGUAUGCUUGUGGAAGGAAAGACCUUUCCGGAUGAGUCUGACUCUCUCAUGUCAGGAAUUUCCACUGCACAUGAACUUGGUGAGGCAUGUCCUGCAGCUCCACCCUCUCUUCUGCCACCUGAAGUAUAGAGGAAGGGAAGGUGUGCUUUAGUUUGGCGCAUGUGCUCGCUCUCAUCAGUUGGCAUAAAAUGUGCAUAAGAUUGUUAACUGUACCAGCUGUUUGACAGCUGAGGUGCCACCCUUUGAAAAGUUGCUUUUAUACAUUUAAUUUUCAAGAGUAAUUUCUAGUUUUUAUUUUUGCAUUUUGAAAUUCUCAAAACAAGGUAAUUUUAAUUAAAGUAAACUUAUAAAACCCUAGCAAUUAGGUCUUUGGCAGAACAGAUACAUUAAUUCUCAAAAAAGUGAUGGUUCAUCUUCAUUCUAAAAGUUGACUGAUGUUUACUGAAUUGCAAAGUUAGACGCCUCAGACUGGGAAUAUUUUUGAAAAUUUGAGACAGGCCUUUCAGAUGAAAUUUGUCUUUGUUCCCCUCCCCACAGCCCAUGUUUUUUUAUUUUUGUUGUAGAAUUACUGUGCUUAUGAAGUCUGCGCUUUUUAGUUCGUGAUCUGUAUGACAUUAUACUUUAAAAUAAAACUUUAUUGUAAUCCAAACAGCAUAACGUGACAAAUCUAUGGAAUGCAUUCAUCUACAGUAAGACAAGUAUUUUCCUCUGUUGAAAAUAAAAACCUCAGAAAUGUACUACAUUUAUUUCUGUGGUCCAUUUAAAUGCAUUUUGCUUCUUCCAAUCCAAGGAAAUACAAACGCUCAGCAGCUGAAAAAUUCAGGCCAGCUGUAUUCAUUUCCAAAGAGUUUUAAAGUCAAAAUGAAUUAUCUUUAGCGUUUUGGUAGUUGUGAAGGAAUCGACUGUCUUACUGGGAACACCAAGCUGACUUUCUACAGUGGAAACUCUGUUAGUGGGUUUGCUUAUGAGGCCUGAACAUAAGUGUAUUAAGUAAUGGACAUUGUCUCUGAAUAGCUGAGUACAAAGUUGGUCUGUCAUAAAGUUUUAGAAUAUUGUAUUAGCGGAGGUGUCGGCAAGCAGUUCCUCUUGCCUAAUUAGUUCUUUCUGCUUGUUUUCCCAUUUUAUCUGUCCUGCCAUCCCUGGCAAGUAAUUCUCAAAACAGCUACUGCAAAUGUUGCUACAUAGCUUGGUAGCUUUUCAUUGUUUAGAGAGUAAAGUCCAAGCGCCUUUGAUACUAGCAUUGUCUGUGAUCUGGCUUCCAGUCGCCUUCUUGGCGUUUACCUGCCAGCCUUCCUGUAGAUUUCUCGGUUCAGCCAACCUGUUCUGCUCAUCAUUCCCACGGGAGUCACGAGGGACAUGCGUUGCUAUCUGCGUAUUUUUUCACCCACCCCCUCUGUGAUUGGUGCUUUGUCCUUGCCCUCCAUUCACUUGAGGUCUUACGGAGCUUUAAGGCCAAGCCCAUGUCCUGUUCUCUUCAGUGUUUUCCCAGGUCACGUGCUUUUUUUCUCUGAAUUUCUUUCAGUGAUUCUCUACUACUCAUUCAGUACCCACGUUAGAAAAUUGCACAUGUGUAUGUAUUUUUAUAUGUUUUAAGUAUAUUUGCGUGUAUUAUUACUUUGUGUGUGUGGGCUUUCUCAUUUAUAUUGCUGCUACUGUUCUUUAGUUUCUCAGCUAGAGGGUGCACCCUAAUGGAAGGUGCACAUAGCACAGUAGUGCAUUUGGCCUGUGCUUACCUGUUUUUCGUUGGAGUAAUCCUGUAUUUGGUCUGUUGAGCAAUAUUCUGCACCGUUGCCACUUGAUUUGUUUCUUUAAAUCACAGAAUGCUGAAUCCACAGAAUGAUACUGAGAAACACUUUGACACCAGUCAAAGAUGGUCUUAAAAGACAUUUUUCUCAUGUAUGUUUUUUAUGAGAUUAAAUUUGCCAUUUAAGAAUCACCUGUUACAUCAUGGGACUUUGUAGAGUGUUGUCUGGCCUAUAACUGAAGCUUCAUGAAAAUAAAAAAUCAGAUGCAUGCUAUUGGAAGCAGUCUUAGAUAAUCCUGCAGAUUGGCUGGGCAUGGGUGGUGGCUUUUGCAUUUUAGGGUGACCAGGUUGUGAAACAAGUCUGCAAGAGGAGGCUUGUCAAAAAAGCGUUAAGAUUUAAGGAGUAAUUUUUAAGUAUCUUCUACAGCAAGAAUUUAAAAUAAUAUAUGACGGGAAAAGGUGUUCUGCUUGCAGACUAGGUUAGGAAGGUCUUGCGAUCCUCUUGGUACAAAGGAAAAUUACUUCAUCAUACAUUUCAUCUAUCAUUUCAGGAACUGAGCACUUGUAGUUGACCCAGCAUUAUUGUUGAAGACUUAUAAUUUCCUUCUGAAAAUUUUUGUCUUAUCUAAACCAUUACAAAUGCCUAUUGAAUAACCUUCGUUAGUUAUACUAAGUAUAGUUGAGAGAUGGUAUUGGAACAUUUUCAUCUCUCAUGUACUCUAUAAAUAGUCCACAUUAGUGAAAUAUGCCAAGUCUACUUUGGGACAUUAGAUUAAUAUAACAUAUCACUUCAUUGAAACUGUUGAGUUAUCAGCUACUGUUUUGUAGCUAAAUUCAAUGUAUACUUUUCAAUUCUUACAAUACUGGCUUCUUUAUAGCAUUUUCCUCUUUGUACAUCGUUUCUUUCUUAAAAUACAUUGUUGUCUUGACACCUAACUUGCUCCCCCACCUGUAUGUCUCUUUUCAGUUUCCUUUCUUGGCUUAUCUUCAUCUGCUUGUCACCUAAAUGUCAGUGUCCCUUAGAGUUGUUUCCUUGGCUCGCGCUACUCUUUUCCUGUCCUGCUUUCCAGCCUUACUCUCUCUUCUGGGCCAUGGAUCUAUAGGGCAUGUGUUCAUUCAGCGUUACCGAGCUCCUGUUGUGUGCCUGGCAUUGUUCAAGGUAAUUGGGUCACAGAGUUGAACAAGACAUUGUGCUUUCUUGGAAGAAAUCAUACAGUAAACGUGUAAGUGUUCUAGACAGCACUUACUACUGGGCCAUCACUGGGUCCUGGCUGAGAGACAUGGGAGGGAACACUCUAGCAGCACGGGGAGUGUUGGGUCAGGUGGUCAGGAAGCCUUUCUGGGGCUGUGAGGUUCUGAACCAGUAAUGUGAACACCUGGGCCAUCCUUAGCCCUCACUGUGCAGGAGAGUCACUGGUGGACCUUAAAAAAAAUGUAGCCAUCACCACAGAUACUCAUAGAAUUGGUCUGGGAUGGGGCCAAGCACUUGUAAUUUUUAAAAGUUUCCAAGACUUAAUGCUCAGCAGGGUUGAGAACCACUGGCCAGAGAAAAGCACCUCAAGGCAGUGGGAGAGCUAGUAUUCGAGGUCUUGCGCUCACCUGUUUAUAAGCUUUAUGAAGGUGAUAACAUGUUUCAUCUUUUUUAAGGCAUAAUUUUUAUAACUGGAGUCUACUGUAGUGCCUGUCACCGUAGGCAUAGCAAGCCUGCCAGGCACAUCCAAAACUGAAAUCGACACCUCUUCUCUAUCCCUCACCUCACACAUCCAGCCAAUCUGGCGCUGCUCCCUGCCCCGGUCCUUUUCCUAGGGUAGCUCAGAACACUGUCGUUUGUUUCCCUUGGAGUCAGUGGGAGAGCCGAGGGAGCACAUAGGUAGAAGCCCUGAUUGCGAGUGCCUGACCGCUGCAGUGUUUCUUCUUCUCGCUGUUCCAGUUGCAGCCACACCCUCUCACUGUUCAGAGGGCAGCACUCAGUAGCCUCUAGUCCUAACUAUAUUUUCUCCAGGUGUAACCCUGAUUUCUUUAUAAAGCUCAGGCGUGACCUAAUCACUCGCCUGGAAGUUCCUUUCUACGCCCUAGGACCCCUCUGCCUUGACUGUCCUCCAUCACUUCUCCACUCUCACUCCCAGCCCCUCCCACUGCUCUCAUUUAGGCUUCAACCAGAUCAAACAAAGUACAGUUGAUGGACAUGAAUAUGCUUCAUUUGUGUUGCUUCUAAUUUCUGCAGAAGAGAGUUCCAUUUGGGGAAGGCACCCUGCCCUCCCUCUCCCUCUCCCUCUCGAGCUGUGAGCCUGGAUGUGUCCUGUACUCAGCCCUUCGUGGCCUGUGCAGCGUCGAGCUAGUAAGUCCACCAGUGCGCAUACUGUCUGGUCAUUUUAGUACAACUGAGGCACCGUUAUCUUCACCGUUUUAUCACCAGUGUCUAGGCAGCAUACUUUUUAAAGAUUAAUGAAUAAAUGUUCUAAGUGAAAAGAAACUUGCCAAUUACACAUACCUUUUUAACAUAAAUCAACUGUUUUUGUAGAACUAUGCCAUUUCUGGGUCAGGACUGGAGAUCCCCUGGAUGGAGUUGGAUUAAAACGGAAGACGGCUGGAAAAGAUGUGAAUCUUGGAGCGAGGGGCUGGACAGAGAGGAGAACCAGCACAGCGUGGACCACAGCACACUCUUAAGUAGUGAAGAUGAAGACCUACUCCCCAGUGAAGAGCAUGGAUAUGCCCCCAAAAAACGGAAAAAGGAUCAUUUCAGAGAUGACAGCAGUGCUCAGUGUUUUUAUCGUGAGAAAUGGAUCUAUGUCCAUAAAGAAAGCACAAGAGAACGGCACGGCUACUGCACUCUUGGGGAGGCCUUCACCCGCCUGGACUUCUCCAGUGCCGUCCAGGACGUCCGCAGGUUCAGUUAUGUGGUCAGACUAUUGCAGCUAAUUGCAAAAUCCCAGUUAACUUCAUUGAGUGGUGUGGCACAAAAGAAUUACUUCAACAUUUUGGAUAAAAUCGUUCAAAAGGUUCUUGAUGACCACCAGAACCCUCGGCUCAUCAGAGACCUUCUCCAAGACCUGAGCUCCACCCUCUGCAUCCUCAUUAGAGGGGUGGGCAAGUCCGUGCUGGUGGGGAACAUCAACAUUUGGGUUUGCCGCUUAGAAACGAUCCUUACCUGGCAGCAGCAGCUGCAGAACCUUCAGAUGACUCAGGUGAACCAGGGCCUCACGCUCAGUGACCUGCCCCUGCACAUGCUCAACAACAUCUUGUACCGGCUCUCCGAUGGCUGGGACAUCGUGACCCUGGGCCAGGUGAGCCCCAUGCUGCGCACGCUCAGCGAGGACAGGCGGCUGUGGAAGACGCUGUGUCAGUAUCACUUUGCUGAGAAGCAGUUCUGUAGACACCUGAUCCUCUCGGAAAACGGUCACGUCGAGUGGAAGCUGAUGUACUUUGCGCUGCGGAAGUGCUACCCGGCGCGAGAGCACUACGGGGACACCCUGCACUUCUGCCGGCACUGCAGCACCCUCUUCUGGAAGACCUGGCCUUCACCCCGCAGCCGUCCCGGCUGCCGUCUGGAGCUUCUAAGGGACAGUCCCACCCUAGGGUGCCUCCCAGGGCUUCUCUCAGCUCCACACAUGAAUCAGAGGCUUUAAAGUAAACAUGCAUUUUCUCAUUUGGUCAACACUUAAUCAGACGCUGACUGCUUAUCAACAAGUCUAACUCAGUGAGAAACCUAAAUGUGGACACUAUCUGUGGCACUUUCCCUGUUCAGGGUAUUAGGAACCCUCCUCCCGAGACUCCCCUGUUCCUGCCUUACUCUCCACUGUCUAUGUCUGAUAAAGACAAGUUCCCCACGCUCAGGCAAACUGCUUCACACGUCAGCUUCGUCUCUCCUGGAACGCUGUCCAUGCUCUGCCUUGGGUUAGGGUUAGGGCUAGUGCUGAAUGUGCUCGGCGUGAUAUUUCACUGGGAAAAGGGUGACACUGGGAAGGCUGGUGUGAGCCUGACCCACGGGCAUCCUACAGGCCCACUGCCCCUUCCUCGGGGUGGGGCCUCGGCCUUCUACCUGGAAACACUACAGUUGUUUGUUUAGUUCUGUGCCGCUUAAUGACCUGAACACCUUUUGAGAAAGGUGCCAUUGGGUGACACUGUCCUUGUGGACAUCACAGAUCCGAUGAUCCAGCUGCCAGCCUGGACAGCGUCCUGCACAGAACAGUGGGAGGUCAAGUCCAGCACAAGGGAGAGGACACAGCCCAGAGACACGUGGUCAGGAGGCGACGAGGCUGCUGCUGGCGCCACACUCGCCGUGUGCAGCAGACUCUGAGGAUAGAGAGGCCCUGAGGAUAGUGGAUCCCUCGCUGUCACUGCCACGCGUGGUCAUCCUCAGUGCUGGGCCUGGUUCCCACGUGAGCGGAGUUUCCAUGGUGGCUGAUGGGACCACGACAGCCCCGAAUGACUUUCCACAUUCUCCAGGGCUAGCUCUACGUGGAAAUGUCAGCUCUGCCUCGGGUCCUCCCAGGGAGCACCCCGAGGGUCAGGGGUUACUGCACUCGUGGCUGGUCAGUUGAGACUCAGAGGGAAAUGAAGCGUGGGUCCUGCUCUGAGGACCGUCUUUGAGGGGCGUGUCGUGGGGGCAUUUGCUGGUGUCUUGCGCUGUCAGUAACACUGUUACUGCCCACGUGUUACCUGGUGGUUUCGGUUGUUGUCACAAAUGGCGUGUGUCAGCCAGCUCCUCCUAACCUGUCUCCUUUCCUUCCCCUGCUCUCCUUCCGAUCUGUCUGCACACCUCCGAGGACUGCCGCCUUGCUUUGCCGUUCAAGGACUCGGGACACCCCUGCACGGCCACAGACCCUGACAGCUGCUUCAUGCCCGUGUCCCCACAGCACUUCAU